CCUACGGGGGGCAGCAGUGGGGAAUAUUGCGCAAUGGGCGAAAGCCUGACGCAGCGACGCCGCGUGAGGGAUGAAGGUCUUCGGAUCGUAAACCUCUGUCAGCAGGGAAGAACGGUCACUGUGCUAAUCAGCAGUGAAUUGACGGUACCUGCAAAGGAAGCACCGGCUAACUCCGUGCCAGCAGCCGCGGUAAUACGGAGGGUGCGAGCGUUAAUCGUAAUUACUGGGCGUAAAGCGCUCGUAGGCGGUAUGUCAAGUCAAGGGUGAAAUCCCCGCGCUCAACGUGGGAACUGCCUUUGAAACUGGCAAACUGGAGUGUGUGAGAGGAUAGUGGAAUGCCAGGUGUAGGAGUGAAAGCCGUAGAUAUCUGGAGGAACAUCGGUGGCGAAGGCGACGAUCUGGCACAUAACUGACGCUGAGGAGCGAAAGCGUGGGUAGCAAACAGGAUUAGAUACCCUAGUAGUC
rnacentral:rRNA from 1 species